rnacentral:lncRNA from 13 species
AGAGACAGCUUAACAACCGCCUGACCAUCGCCUGACCAUCACCUGACGCCACCUGACAUUCCUGUGAGGGAGCCACUCCUGCCUUGCUCAUGUCUGAAUAACUACCUGCUGAAACAGUUGGACCACACAGGGCCUUGUGGAUUGGAUUAAGGGUUAUGGAUCUGCUUGCUGCUGAAGAGAGGAUGACGGAAGCCAGGAGAUUUUAGGAGGCUGUUGCAUAAGUGAGAUGAGAGCAAGUGGUGGAUCAUACCCAAUGGAGAGCAGGAGAUGGAUGAAAUGUCUUAAAGACAGUUCUGCUGACCCGGAAAGUCUACUUGAGGCCUUGGUCUUAGCCUCGACCUUGAGAACACUCAGCAGAAAUCCAGUCCCUCUUACCCUCAGAUGUUUGAGGAUGUGGUCACAUGGCACCUCCGUGGGAAUAUUCUUCACUCCUUUUCUGCAGAAGGCCUGGUCCUGAGGCGCCUGCUGCCCUGACUACACCCCCGGUGCUGGGCUGUUUGGGCCAGUCUCUGCUGCGUGGCUCCAGAGUUGCUCCUCAGAGUGCAGGACCUCCCCCUGCUCUUCCCACUGCUUUGAAAUGAGGCUGACCCACGAGGCUGCUCCAAGUGUGAGUGACCCAAAUGAAGUCAUCCCCUUCCCAGCAGGAGAGGGAGAGGAGUUGGGUUUUCAUCGGAUCUUCUCAGCGGAUGUGGAAGUGCCGUUUGUUAUCGUUCUCAAAUCGCUGAUGGGAGAAGCCGUGGCUUGGAGACUGGAGAAAAAUGUGAGCGAGGACUGUGAGCAAAAUGUACGUAUCCACUGUAGCAGCCUCCUGCUGCAUUUCGGGAAAUGGUAUGUGCUGUCUGGAUGCCUGGGGUUCUUUAGAGUGAGCACAAAUUUGUGUUAGGGAGGGGAAAAAAAAACCUCGUAUUUUCAACCUCAAAGAUGAUUUUUUUAAGUCAAAACAACUCACAUCCUAGGCUGCCAGAAUGCUUGCUUUCUGCACUCACUUCUAGUCCCAAAGACAUUUGUGUAGCUCAUUAUAUGCUGACUGGAACUGUAGUUUGCAGUGAGAGCCAAGCAGCACUCUCAUUCCAAGUUGUUCCUCAUCAGGAGAGGGGUCUUUUAUCACUUCAGGAACCUGGAAAAGGCUCUCUCCUGUGGCCAUGCUGUUGGAUAAUGAUCUCACCAACCCUAAGUAAAAGCAGAGGGUUUUUCACUCUGCAAGAGCCCUAGGCCUCGGCAAAUCCCCACCCCACAACCAGCCCCAGACUCAGUCCCAUCAGACACAGGAGAGCUGGCCAGUGCGUGGCCCCCAGAGGCCUCAGGUCUUUGUGUAAAUGAGUCCACCCCACCCACCUAC